AUUGAACGCUGGCGGCAUGCUUUACACAUGCAAGUCGAACGGCAGCGCGGGCUUCGGCCUGGCGGCGAGUGGCGAACGGGUGAGUAAUGCAUCGGAACGUGCCCAGUCGUGGGGGAUAGCCCGGCGAAAGCCGGAUUAAUACCGCAUACGACCUGAGGGUGAAAGCGGGGGACCGAAAGGCCUCGCGCUAUUGGAGCGGCCGAUGUCGGAUUAGCUAGUUGGUGGGGUAAAGGCUUACCAAGGCGACGAUCCGUAGCUGGUCUGAGAGGACGACCCGCCACACUGGGACUGAGACACGGCCCAGACUCCUACGGGAGGCAGCAGUGGGGAAUUUUGGACAAUGGGGGCAACCCUGAUCCAGCCAUGCCGCGUGCGGGAAGAAGGCCUUCGGGUUGUAAACCGCUUUUGUUCGGGAAGAAAUCCUCUGGGCUAAUACCCCGGGGGGAUGACGGUACCGGAAGAAUAAGCACCGGCUAACUACGUG
rnacentral:rRNA from 1 species